rnacentral:lncRNA from 1 species
AUGAUAAUCUCCGGUGGUCUCUCUCAUAGUCCAUUUCUCUAUCCCAAAAUCGGUUACUUGGCUCGUGGUGUGAUGCUUCAAAGUUUCCAUUUUCUUCGGGAUUGUUCCAUUUGUGACUAUAGCAGACUUUAUCAUGCAGCAGGAUGCUUUUGUAUUUUUCGGUAAGGUCACUCUGGUGCCUGAAAAUGAGGCCGCUACCUAUUAUGGUUCAGCCAUCUACGAAAUGACUACUUGUCUCCAUCUGCCACCAAAUUGUCUUCAUCAUACCUCCUCCUCCUCCGUAUCAGUGCUGGCCUUCCACGAGCCAAGCUAUACUCUGGCUGUUCGGGCUUGGAUUGGUGUAGCCGGGUUGUAUUGAAGGGGUGUUUGUGCCCUGCUCAACCUUACAUAAGUUAUUAUUAUUCGCUUUCUCACUCACGAGCUGGUUUAAAUCAGCCAGUUUUCAGGGCAAGCUGGAGCCUGUACUUGCUUUUUCCUAGUUUACUUAAAACUUUUUAAAGCUUCGGUCGGUUGUUAGCCGCAUCCUGCUUGAGCUCAGCUUAUUUUCAAGCAAACAAGCUUAACUGAGCCUGAGCCACUCGUGGAUGGCUUGGUUCUUUUUAUGGGUUGUUUGAUGGAAAUUUCAACUUUCAGCUAUCUAACCUAAAAAGGAGUGACUUGCCGAAUCCUAUUGUUCCAUUUCAACAAAAUUUGGGUUGAGGGCAUCUUGGUGUACGGUACAUUCUUGCACUUCUGGACAUCAUGGGAGGCAUGAUGUCUGACUCUGGAGCGAAGAAUGUUGUUUCAUGUUGCUUGCAUGGUAAAUGUUGUAAAUACUUAUGCUCCAGAUGGACUUAGGCAUGAUGUUGAUUUCUAAAUAUAAGUCGCCAAUCAGCAGAUAUAUUGGACUAUGGGGAGUAAAAGGUUUUGAAGAAACCUGGAAUCCUUGGGACAAACCAUUAUUCGAAUUCCAUGAAUGGCUUUCAAAUUAAGUACAUGGCGAUUGGCAAUUCUUUUCAUCGUGCCAUUUCAUUCAUGUAGACGAUGCAUCCUUGGCUUUAUGUGCCAAUAUUGAGAAGUGCUUUAACUCUCGGCAAACAAACACAAGCCAUACGGUCAAACCAUGCUCAAGGGUCAAGUGCCCACAUGGACAGUUGGAAAAUAAUAUGUGCACAAAUAUGGUUGAAAUAAGACUGUUGAGAUAGAUAUAUACUAAUAUAAGAAAAGAUAAUAUAAAAAAUAAAGCCAUUUGUCAAAAAAAUCGAGAUAGUACCGAUAGAUAAUAGAGUGAGAGAAAUGAUUUAGGUGGUUUGAAUAUAUACGAUAUAGGCCAAGAAAUUCAUAAGUACAAAGAAGUAAUCCAAUACAUGUAGAAGGAAAGAGGGGCAACGUAGGCUGAAUACACAUGGGAUAAAUAGUAAGAAAGGACUUCAUAUAUCUACAUGAUUCUAAAUAGAGCAGAACAAAGCAAAUUGCCGAUAGCCUCAAGAAAAUAAAUCCAACUUGUUGAUUACGAGCCAGGGUGAAAUUUAUAGUGCAAUAAUAAAUGUACGUCACAUGUAAGUAGAAAAUAGGUAUAUGUGCCUUGAAUCAUUGUGCCAGUUUCCGCAGACUCCCAAACAAAUUCAGUUGCGGUCCACAAAAAUGGGCCAUACGAGGUUGCCGACACUUGCAGUUUUACGUGAAACCAUAAUACAAAAAAAAUAUUUUCUAAUAACGCCUAACUUUCAUCCAUUUUACUUUUUAAAAUAUUAUUUUAUAAGGUAUAAAAUAAAGGCAUUAAAUACUUUAUAAAUUAUUAUUAGUUCAUCAAAGGAGAUAUACAUCGAGUGUUACUGAGAGAUUUCCAACUAUAUUUUUCAAGCAUUUACCUAAUAUUAUUUGAUGAUAACAAAGCCGUGCAUGGCAUUGUAAAUCAACUAAUAUGAUCUUUGGCAUCUAUGAAACAUUGUUGGAGUCAACAUCGAAGGCAGAAGCAAACAUGUUUUGAGAUUGAGAGUUGCAAAUAAACCUCACACAAAGAGGUGAUUCAACAAGUUAUUUCAUUACUAUUUAUUAGAAAGAGAAGUUUAUUUUUUCUUGAUAAAUAUACGUCACUGCAGCUUCAUUUUCUUAUCCUAUAUGACAGUUGAGACCGAUUUAAUAUAAAGAGAUAAGUGAGUGUCCACUGGAAUCAACUAUUCUAAAUUGUUCAUAGCAGUGUAGCAAUGAGAAAUAGAAAUGGUAAUGUUGAGCAUGGGUAAUAAUUAGCUUACAUGUACAUCAUGUUUCUAGUGCCCAGUGUGGAUGAUAAUUAGCUUAUAUAUUUUGUUUGACAAAUAUAGCCAUUGGACCUGUCAAUUUUAAAAUAUAUAUUAUAACUUAAUAUUAUUGUAUUUAAAUAUUUGUAAAAAUAAAAAGUUCAGUCUAUAUUUUGGGUUGUCUCUCCCUAGCAUGUUUUGCAUGUUUUACGUUGGGGAAAAUAAAAUUAAAUAUAAAUUAUAAUUAUAUUUAAAAAAAUUAAAUCAAAAAUAAUUUUUUUUUAAAGAGGUGAGAAUAAUUAUUACUUAUUAAAAGAACCGCCAUAGAUCGGUGGAGGAGGGCCCUUUAGACAGCCGGAUCGGACUGGACCCAAACGAACGGUUCAGAUGACCAAACCUUUCACUACUCUUUUCAUCCCAGUCGUCUCCUCCUUCCUCCCUUCUCCAGCGUCCGAUCCCCUUUUCACCUCUCUCCAGCCCUCCCCCAAAUCCCAUCCCAUCUCUCUCUCUCCUCCCCCGCUGCGCGCGCGCGAAAUACAAAUCUCCCCAGCCAAUCCAAACGCUCUGAUUUCAGGUAACGAACCACGCCUCCCUCGUAUUUCUUUAGGGUUUCUCCGGCCGCUAGGGUUGACGCUGAUCUGCGGCGAUGUUGGCCGUGGAUCCAGGUUUUUGCGGCCGAUGGCGGAGGCACCGGCGAGCCCCGUCGGCGGUGGCGGAAGCCACGAGAGCGGCGGCGAACAGAGCCCCCGAUCCACCGUCCGCGAGCAAGAUCGCUUCCUCCCCAUCGCCAACAUCAGCCGCAUCAUGAAGAAGGCCCUCCCCGCCAACGCCAAGAUCGCCAAGGACGCCAAGGAGACCGUCCAGGAGUGCGUCUCCGAGUUCAUCAGCUUCAUUACCAGCGAGUUCAGAUCUUUCUUUCCUCCCCUUCUCUCUCUCCCCCUCUAUAUCUGUCUCAUAUCCUAUAAUUUCUCGUAAUUAAUUUGUUUUUUUGUUAUUAAUUAAAUGAUUUGCUGAUGCAGAGCGAGCGAUAAGUGCCAGAGGGAGAAGAGGAAGACGAUAAAUGGAGAUGAUUUGCUCUGGGCGAUGGCCACGUUGGGAUUCGAAGAUUACAUUGAACCGCUGAAGUUGUACCUACAGAAAUACAGAGAGGUAUUUCUUUGAUUAUGAAUUUCUCUCUAGUUUUUGGGUACUAUUUUUGUGGAUAAUUUGGUUCAGGAUUUGUCUAGGUUAAUUAUCAGCAAAUAUUUGUGAGGUUGCGUUGGGUUUCUAGUGCUUUAUUUUAUCUUCGUUGGGCUCAUAAAGGUUUUGUUUGUUUUCCCUUCCUUUUGCAUGGAUUUCGGGGCGGAUUUGAUGUUCCAGAUGGAGGUAAUAACUUUUUCUUUUCCGAUUCAUGUGCCAUGUGUCUGUUUAUUUUAUAUGUGCUUCACGUCUUUGGUGUUCUAUCCUUUAUUGCAUCAUUAGGACUUAGCAGAGCUACCAUGAGUAGCUAUAGUCUGUUUAAUAUUUUCAGUAUUUGCAUUUUGCUUCUUUGUUGAUAUUAUACAAGUAAUAUGUCUGAAUUGGAUCCCAGUGAGAGAUUUGAUCGUGUAGAUUUUUCCAUAUUUCAAUUAGAAUGUUUUUGAAGGUAUAAAACGAAAUCUGAAUGCAUAUAUUUUUAAGUGUAUAUUUUUAUUAAUCUGUUCUGAUGCCAAUGGCUCGAAAUGCAUUGUUCCUAUCCAACACAGACUCAAGCCUAUAUAUUUGAUUUUCCAUAUUGGUUUCAUCAAACUGAUGAGCCACGAGUUGAUCUUUUCAUCUUUUUUUUCCUCUUCUGCAAGCUUGUAUUUGAUUCUUGUACAUAUAUGUUCACAUCAGACAAGAGGGUCUCAUCCUAUCCAUGGGAUGCUUUCCAUGAAUGUGGGAUGCUGGGAGUUGCUAAGUAGAGAAAGAAAAGUUGGAGGGGUUCAAGAAGUUUGUUACUUCCCAACUCUUUUGGAAGUCAGGAUUCCAUUUAUAAAGGCUUUAGUGAUACCAUGAAAACUGGGAUGCAGAAUCCCUACACCCGCUGAGCCUUCCAGCUUCAUCUUUCCAAACAUUCUCACUUGGUUGAUAUAACCUGGUUGGUUGGUUGGUUGGUUGGUCGUUUAAACAUGCCAUUAGUAUUGGUAAAGUAAACUUAAGAUUCAUAUCCAUUCAUACCAGAAAUGGAUAUAAAUUUCAACGAUUAGUUGUGUCAGACUUUGCUUCAAUGUAGGCAAUGACUUUAGGACUAUUAUAUUUAUCCUUUAUAGGGGUUUAUAUUUGGACAUGAGAUAGUUUUGAGUAAUUUGACAGGGUGAUAGUAAGGUAUCCGCAAAAGGUGGAGACAACUCUGCUAGGAAAGAUGCAGCAGGUCCUCAACCUGGUCCAAGUACCCAGGGGGUAUCAGUUAUUCUCCGAAUUAUUUUCUUUCUGGAAGAUUUCGUUAUUUUCAUUCGAUAUUUUUCAAAUUUGACUUGUAUAUGAAAUCAGCAGAUGGGUCAACAAGGAUCUUUUACUCAAGGAAUGAAUUAUAUGCAACCUCAGGUAUUCUGUAUUAAGUAUUUCUCUUCAUUAAAUCUAUGGUGGAAGCCCUAGAUAGUCUUUCAUCUUACAACUUAUAAAUAUUUGUAGACAACUUACAUUAGUCUUAUGUAGGCAUACUAGGGAUAAGGUGUUAACUUUGUGCUUCCGUUGUAGAUAAUAUGCUGAUAAUUAAGUUUUCUAAAUAAUGUUCAGUUUUUUGAAUACUUUCACAUGAAUAAAAUUUGUUUCUUGAUAGUGUAGCUUGCACAAGUAGGAGAGGAAAAUGGAUAGUCAUGAUGUUGAUGGAUAUGUGUUACAUAGAAAAAAUGAUGUAAUUGUGGCAGAUGUAUCAAAUAUAUGAGUCCUAUGAGCAUGGGAUGUCAGAUGGGUCAUAAAUUUGUCUAUUCUGGAAUUCCUUUUAAGAAAAGGUGUGCCAGAGGUGAAUGAAGAUAAAGAGCUAGGGAACAUUGUAAUUACAAGAGCUAUGUAGGUUCAUAUAUAUUGCAGUUGAAAUUUUACACCUGAGGAAGUAAAUCUAAUACCUCAUAAGCUUAUGUCUAAAGGUUGCUAAUCACAUGCAUAAUAGUCUGAUUUAAGUAGGAGGCAUGCCUCUAGAAAUAACCAAUUCCUGCUCUGUACUUGACCAUCGGUUAAUUCUUCCUCCUGCAACUUGAUUGCUGCCUUCAACACCUCACUCACUCAUGUUUGCUAUUUUUCAUAAAUUCCAUGUUCAAUAGAGUUAUUGCCACCAUAUUCGAGCUUCUGUGAACCAGUGUUCCUCAUGUUAUUCUGUGUAGUAGUUUUGAUAUGGUAUUCUUUAAUCUUGUCUAAAAAAAAAAAAAUCAUUUAGAAGAUUUUUAUUUUAUUUUUAGUCUUGAUUCGCUAUUACAAUGUGCAGAUGUACUUCUUGCAUAAAUUGCCAUAUCCACUAAAUCAAUCAUAGAUAUGCCUCGGGAAAUUGUAGUAUAAACUUGAUCAUUAAAGAAGAUGAUCUUUCUGCUGUUAUGUUGAUUUUUUAUGCUGCUUCUAUCAAUAGUUCUCCAAUGAGGUUGGCCUUGUAUGUUAUAAAUCAACCUCUAUGUCGAUAUAAUCAGCUUUCCAUACAUAAAAUUUUACAACUCUCUUUCUGCUUUUGUUUAACGUUUAGAUAUAAUGCGAGUUCCAUUUUUAUUCUUUGUUAACUAUGUAUAUAUUGAAUGGUCGUGAAACUGUUGAUCAUAUUCUCCCACUAAUAGUUGUUUAUCUUCUAAAGAUCAUUAUUUUGCUAGAUGCAAUUCUUUCUCUUCAUCUUUUCAGUACACAAUUCAUCUUGUUUCCUAUGAGUUAGUUGGUUUGCUGAUAUUAGCGUGGAAUUCUCCUUUUUGCCAGUUCCAUAAUGGGGAUAUUUCAAGCUGAAUGGUUAUUGGCCUAUUUCUGCUAGCUGUUCUCUAUUUCAGGUAAUAGCUCUUCCUGAUUGGUCCUCUGCAUUAUGUAGAGGUUCUUUGGAUAUCUUUUCUCAUUCAAGUAUCUGUUCUUGCUGAUCAGCAUUUGUAUUGUGCCACCAUACAUGAGCACUUCUCAUCCAGUGCUCAGAAUGAUGCUGCAAUGAGGACAUUAUAGAUCAUUUAAGAAAGUGAACCAUAGGAGUAGAAAAAAUAUGUCAUGGAGUCAACAGCUUGUUCUAUGACAUACGCAAACAAAUCAAAAGAAUUGUUUUGCUUACUUUGGGUUUGGAUAGCUCAAGAAAAUCAAAUAAUGACGGUUGUUGACCAAAGUAGUUUUCUUUUAUUCUGUUUAUAAUCUUCUGUAGUUUUAUUAUCUCAUUUAUUUGUGAAAAAAUGGCUAAAUGGGUUAUUUGCACUAUAGUUUUUACAGUGACAAAUACUUUGGUGAAAGCUUCAAACCUUCAUAAGAGGAAUGAUCAAGUUGACAAGAACAGUGAAAGAAAUUAAUACAUGCCAGUAUCACUCAGUAUGAUCAGGCACCUUGAUAAUCAUUUUGGAUGUCAACAUGCCGUUGCACUUUAUCUCGACCUACUUUGGUACCAACUGUCAUGGUCCUAUGGAAGUUGCCCUAAUUAAAGCAUGUGAGGCACCUAGAGUACCUCAGGAUACUUGGGGAGUUUCCUCUCCUAGGGGAGCUCUCUAUUUUCAGGAGUUGGGUUGCAGAUGAGGAUGUCUCCUCUUUAUAUAGACCUAAGCUAGGAUCCAGAGUGACAAGAAUCACCGCUACUUGUCCUUCAUCUAUAGAUGAGAACUUUCUAAAUUCAAGAUAUUUACAUGCCACCAAAAUAUAUAGGAAAUAUCUAGAAUAUGGCUGAAAUAUCUCCAGAGUCCUUGGGGAACUCUGGAAGCUUCUAGAGUCCUCUAGCAAUUGAGUGAAUUCUUGGACAAUCCUUUGUGAGGUUUUGACAUCUUGCUGAAGCUCUGUGAUCCCAUGCUUAGUUUUCCUUUUCUGCCAUCAAGUAACAUACAAACUGCCUUGAUUAUAAUAUUCGUUUGUUUUCGUAUAUUUGCUUCUCAAUCGUUGCUAUUCCUCUAGUUUCACUCAUUCAUAUGCACGAUCUAUUUGGUAAGAAAUAUUCGUAGAUGUUUCAGAUCUGUUUCCUUGGUAGGAAAAGAUGACAUGGAUACUGAUAAUGGUUCUUGAAAUGUUGCAGUAACUGGCAAGGAAUCAAAGUCUUCAUGGAAAGAACUGGCCUGUUGGGUCUACAGGCUAUUUCGCUGUUGAAACCAAUGAUAGAUCGCCUGAAGCAUACUAGUACCAUCUUCUUUUGGUUUGUAAAUUAAUUUGAAUAAAAUAAUCUAGACUUUGGGUGUUCAGAAACAUGCUCCAUGUCUUUCUUCUAUGUUGUGCACAUAUGGAUGUCAUAUUUACUGUUUGUUGGUUUCCUUUAGCUAACUUGAAAUGUUUUAUGGUCAUAUUGUUUCAGUCAAUAUUACUGUCUCUGUGCAGAAGCUGAGAGAGGGUGUUGCUUCUGUAACUCAUCCUUCAACGGAUUUAAGUAGUCUGAACUCUGUGAAAUAAGUGCUGCCACCAUCACAAACAAUAGACAAUGACUUCGGAUGAUACUCUUAAACAAAAUGGAGGCUGCUGGUCCUUUAUUAUUUUUGGAUCGGAACAUUUUGGCUAAUCAUCUUCUCAAUAUGGUGCUUCAUGAUGUUAACUUUUGUUUGUAUUUAGGAACGUCCGAGGGGGAGGCUGGCUGGUUGAUGGUUAGUUAACUUUAGUGACCAGCCUUGAUGAGAGGGUGUCUUGUAGCCCAAGUAGCGUAGCCAAAGAGUUCCUUGGUAGAUACAAUCUCUUGUAUGGAAGGGUUUAGGUCGCCAUAGAUGGCAUAUGAAACCCAAAAGUGAAUGCAGUUGAAGAGAGGUGCUACAAAGAUUGAUGCCACCAAGUAUUGUGCUGGUUUCCACAUUCGCAUGGGGAAUGGGGAAAUGGUGGUGACUUAAACCCUUUCUUGAAGCAUAGGGGAAUGGCUAUCAUGCUGGGCCACCGUUUUUCAAUUAUCACUAUCACAGUUGCGAGUUCGCUGGGCGGAGGUCUGGAGGACGGUUUUCCUGCAAAAAAGUAAAAACAAAAAUAAAAAUAAAAAUACGAAAAAAAAAUAAGGAGAUGAAUAGGAUGAAGGUUUGAUUUAUAGGCUGAUGCAAUUCCAUUGCUUCUGUCUUUGUUGUCUUCUUUUGCCCAUCAGGAGUUUUGUUUGGAUUGUUGUUAGACCACAAAUAGAGCUGCAAAUGGAUCGAGUCGGACUGGGGCAGGCUUGAUCUGAACUCAACCUAAUUUUCUAAUUUUCUAUUUGGAUCUGGAUCCACCCCAUUAUAACCGUAAUGGUGACUAAUGAUGGUUUCAAUAGGGGUGUAUUAUAGCGGAAUAACACCGAGGCAGGGGAAUAAUGCUAAUGUAGCAGUUCGGAUUGAACUCAAUGUAUCACAUUGGAGCCUGUUUAGCCAGUUGGAAGUCUAAUGCCCCUUGAUCAUGGGGUACUCGAACUUUGGUGUGGUUUUUGGUUAGAGCAGAAGAUUUGACAUGGGAUAUUGUAUGCUAGGCAAAUACUAAUUUUUUUUUUUUUUAAUAAGAUGGUCGCUUCAUACAACUCUAGUAUGAAUACAAUCUAAAAAAUCGGAAAGAAGAAUAUCACGAAAAAAUAAAGAUAAACAGAAAGCAUCCAUCUGGUGAGCAAUAAAUGAGGUAAUUCAAUCCGUCGUAUUAUUCACCUCAUGAUAGGUAUGCCUAAUCACAAAGAAGGAGCAUUCCUGAAGUAAACUCUGGAUGUUAUGCACCAAGGGAUGAAGGAACACCGCACAGUCUCGGUCCCUUUAAAUCUAAGAUACCAUCGUUCUCGAGUUCUCCUCAACUACCAGUUACUCUACCUUGAGGAUCAUCCUUGCAUAAACAAUACCCUUCCAGACCACCCGCAGCUCAGCAGCAGGCACAGAGGUCUCCAUGAGUUGGACUCCCUCCAUCACAAUAAAUCGAGAAUCGGAGUCUCGGAUCACAAAACCUGACACUGCCAUCGAAGUUGACCUUCAAAAAGAUCAGAGAUAGAGGCUUGUAAUAUGCUAUUCUAUGUCGAACCAUUUCUAUUUUUUUUGAUAUAAGCAGUCCGAUGUCCAUCUUGGGAUAGGCUUACUUCUAUUCUGUCCUUGUUUCACCCCUUUAGAUUAUACAUCUAAAAUAAAUUUUAUGUUAUAUAAAUAUUAUGAAGGCCAUUAGUAUAUUUUAUAUAGUAUUACAAGCAUAAACUUAUAAUACACACACAUUAUAGUACUGUUUGUAUAAGAUAUUAUUAUUUUUAGGGUUUUCUUACAUGAGUUCUCUUAUAAAUAUCUAAAAUGAUGUGUAUAUUUUCUUAAAUUUGUUAUUUACGUAUAUAUUUUUAUAAAUUAUAAUAGUACUAUAUUGUUUACAUAUAUAAUAUAGUACCGGUAUAAAUUAAAUAGUAUUAUAUUAUUGCAAACUAGUAUGACUGUAUAAUAUAUUAUUUUUUAUAUAUGGUUUUAUUAAUUUUUAAAAAAUAAUAUUUUAAUUCUAUUUUUAUUCUAAAUAUUCUGACCAGCAAACAUAAUAUGGCAGAAAUAUUUAGCAUAGUCAUGCUAUCCGGCAUAGCUUUCCCUGUAAAUACUCUUUUCCAUUUGCCCGUCACACGCCGCCUGGCAGAGGGAUGCUAGGAGGCGUAGUUGUCGAUCCCUGUUAGACAGCUGGACCACCUGGUACACCGAACACGAUCGCCUCCGCAUUCAAGCCCUGCCACGUUAAACCCUAUGCACGCACCCAAUAACCUAAAUGGACCCCACAGCCCACAGCACGUCUCGCUCGCGCUCGCAAGCGCUUCAAAAUUUUCAAAGGAAUAAAAUAUAUAUCUACAAGAGGGAAGACUGCUCGACGAUUUUUGACUUGAGAAACAAAUAUUGGAUCUUGUCCUCCUCCGAUCUCUACCUCUCUAAUACGAAUGGCCGAAAGUGCGAAGGUCUGGAUGCCGCAAUCGCCAAUGCAGGAGGACGCCCAGCCUGGUGAGGACUCCCCACUUCCUUCUCUCUUCUAGGGUUUUCCCCCGAUUCGGGUGAUCCGGAAGUUAGGGUGUUUUGAGAAAUCAGUCUGAAUGUACCUAUGCAACCUAUUACAGCGCCAGAUAAUGGGCAUUGGUUAUGAUUUGAUAGAUCUGGAAUGAUUUCUUUGAAACUUCUCCUUUUUUUACAAAUUUCUUGCAUCUUCUGUUGUCUUUCGUCUUACUUACCGAGAUAUUUGGUUGGUUCCAGAUUUGCAUCAUUGUUGAUGGAUAUUUUUGGAUUUUCAUUGCUGGGAAAACAAAAUCCUAUUGUUAUAGCCGGGUCUGAUGUAAAUGACGAACUUUAACCUGCAGGUGAUUUUUGGUACUGUGAAAAAGUAGUCGUUUGAUGUGUUAGGAUUCCACCAUUCCUGAUGCAUAAAUGGCUUUUAGUGUUGGGGUUUGAUUCAUUAAACCAAUUUGAAUUUUUCCCUUUUUUUGGCGUUUUCUGGCCUAUUUCCUCCACAUAUCCUGAUUCCCUCGACUUCUAUUGUUCUUAUUUUGGAAUAAUUCCGGAUUUUGAUGUUUUUUCUAUGAUUUUCUGGAUUAUUGUUGUCGUGGAAUCAGUACUCAGUCACCAAAAUGAACAAACUGGUGUUUAUGGUGCACUUUGGAUUUCAUAUAUAGAUCUUGGAGUCGCGAUUAUUAUUCACCAUAUAAUAUGAGGCAUGGCGAACCUUUGGCAUUUGUUUCCCACAUGGCUGUUGAUGUUGCUGAAAUAAUCAUUUGUUCAAUCAUUGAGUUUGUGUUUUUUGUGUGGUUAUCAGAUGAUAACGUUGGUCCAAAACACUCUUGUUCGUCACCAAAAGAUGUGUGCAACAAGGAGAACAUAUGCACCGCUCAAGAGGACAAUUUGGAUGUGCUGGCCUCUUCUAAAGAGACCCUAAUGCAGACAAAGAGGGCUAAAAGGGGUGGAGGAUAUAACUUGAGGAAAAGCUUAGCCUGGAACCAAGCUUUCUUUAUGGAAGAAGGUAUUAAAUUUGCUACGGUAUUUGUACAAGCUUCUGACUCCAAGUUCUCAAAAAUUUAUCACUUUGAACAGGUGUCCUGAAUCCACUAGAAUUGUCCAUGCUAAGCGGUUCUGUAACCAAGUCAAGCGGGAGCUUUCUCUCUGGGAUCAGUGGGGAGAUGUCACCACUGAUGGAGUACCAGAAAUCUGGUGAUAGGAAUGAUGUUGAAGUAAACAUAAAUAAUAAAUCUCAAACAAAAUCUGAAAAAGAUUUCAAGGAUGGCAAAUUAUUUUCAAAUUCAGAAGCUUUAAUCAAAGAGGGGCAACGGCUACAUGUAAUUACUCAGUUCAACUUGGAUCCAACAUUCUUUUCUAGUUCCUAAUGUAAAGAUGGAAAUUUUGGGGGCAAUUUUCAGUUUUCUAUCUUAUAUAUACUGAGUAACCUGUCUUGUUGUGAACAAAAGUUGCAGUGUAAGGUAGAAUUUCUAUUUGUUCUUAUCAUUAUUUGCCUUAUCCAGGCUUCUGGAAAGAUGCACUCUGGCAAAAGCAUUGCCAAAAUUGUGCCACAAUCACCAGCUUCAAUUUUAUAUCCUUUUUUGUUACUUCCUUUAAGAACGGAAAAUAUGCAGUAUCUAUUUGAUGAGGAAGUCCGGCAGUGUCCAAAAUUUUCUGUUGCUUGAGAAAAUUUUCUAACAGGUUAUUUUGUCAAUUUAAGGAGUUAUAGUUCUUAACACUAUUGUACACAGAAAAGGGUUGCAAAUACAAAUGCAACAAAUCCAACAUCGAAACUUCCAAAAUUCGUGCCUACAAGGUCACAUGCUUAUUCUCUACCCAUGACUUCCAGAAAUAUCAUUUCAACUCCAAAGAGCUUCAAGACUAACCAUACAGCUAGAGGUGCUGUUUCUUAACAUGAUUUGCUUUUUUGCUGGAUAUUUGAUGCGAAUUCUGUCUAUAUAUUUCUCAUUAAAUUUGCCAACCAUAUCAACUGAUUUGAGUUUUUUCAAUAAGCUAUUUUUGCUGCAGUUAAUGUUGACCAUGGCAUUGGUACAAGGGGAUUUUCUUCAAAUAAAAGAAUGGAACCUGGUUGUCCACCCUCAUCAGCUAAAUCUUCUUCACAUGAUCUUAGCAAGCACUUGGUUAGGACUAAGGAGCUUUUCCAGUUGUCUAAAACAUCAUAUAUGCUUUUUCGUGAAAAGCAGUUGCACUUCAAUUAUUUUUAAGUAUUCUGCUGGCCAAGUUGAAAUGAUUACUCAUGAUCCGGUGUAAUAUUCUUUUGAAAUGCUUCCAUUUCCAUUUGUAGGUUCCACUGGCUGAGAAAGGUACUGCUGGUUUUAAGAUGAAUCCACAUUCAUCUGGCUCUGGCAUGGCAUCUUCAUUAUAUCGCCAAAAUUCCUACCAAGUUAGCAGAGGACCUCCCUUGCCAGCCCAUGUAAAACCAUCAGCACUGCGACUGCCUUCACCAUCUUUAGGAUUUUUUUGCCAGGUAUGGUAACAAAAAUUACAUCCAUGGAUGUCUUACUUUAAGAAUCAGUGGCAUGGUGGACCCUUGAAGUAAUUUUAUAAAAAAAUGUAAAAUGUUUCCAAUUUGUUCUUGCAUCAUUUAGUUUGCAGGUAACAAUUGAUUCCUAAACCUGGAGAUUAAGCUUGAUUUAUCGAAUAGGCAGAAUUGGAAGUCAUUUGGUUUCAUAGACGUAUACAUGAAGAGCUAGAUAAAAGAGAUGCUAACUGUCAAAAAAGGAGCAUCCCAAUAGCCAUGCUUCCAGCAGGGUAGUCCAAUGAUAGUCCAUGGUGUAAGUGUUUUAAGGGAGUGUGCCAAUAACCAUGCUUCCAUCAGGGUAAUCCAAUGAUAAUUCAUGGAGUAGGCGUUUUAAGGGAGACAAGAAUUACCAAUCUGGUCACUUGCAUGACACCUGAAAUUUCUUUUUAAUAUAAAUGGUGACAUCAGCACCAUGAGAUGACAUUUGUUAUAAAUUUGUUAUAUUUCAAAGAUGUUGUUUUGAUGGAAUGUGGAAUGACAAGCAUAAUUUAAAAGUUUUCAUAACCCUUAGAAGUUAGAACAGUACCAGAUAUACAAUGAUUUAGAAAACUGUGUAAAAUUUGGUCUCGUCAUUCACUUGUUCAUUUAUUUUGUAUCCUUCAUGUUUAUAUAGAUGAGUUGGCAAUUUAAUUUUUUUGACAUGCAAAAUCUGAUCCAUGGUAGCUAACUAAAUUGGCUUACAUUCAAUUGGACAGCCAUUUGAAUGGCUUCUUUUCCUUGCCACUCUUUUACUUCUUUUUGUAGGGAAAAUUUUCUCCUUCCUAUUACAACCAUUCCCAGAGAAAUAUUCAACAGCCAAUGCCCAGUAUUCCUCCUCUUAGAAAGCCUAUUAGUCUAAAAAAGACUGAUGAGCUGAGACCUGCACCUUCAACUGGGCGAGAAUGUGCAGAGGGCCCUGUUUCAUCAGAAUCUUGUGCUAGGACUGUAGUUGUUGGCAGCUUGCAAGCAUCUUCAGCUGCAAACUCUUUGUCUUGUUCCACUGCAACUGUUGAUACACAUCCAUCUAUGAAAGAGAAUACUGGAACGAAAAAAAUGGAUAUGAUGAAUAACAGAACUUCUGGUUCGUGUUGCCAAACAAGCAGUCAAGAUCAGUUAGGCAGCAGUUGUUUCUCAGUUCGUGUCAACAUUGACAAGCAGUCACACAUGUUCUCUUUAGGAAAACUUGGUCGUCACGAGGAUAACUUUAUGUUGCAGAUUGACACAAAAUCUUCAGUCCAAGAAAGUGGAUUGAUUUCUGAGAAUAGUAAUGAUGCUGACCCAUCUACCGUAGAAUCUAGUGAAAGUAAAUUAUCAUCAUCCAAGUUUUCAUCACAAAUGUGUCCAAAGAAACUUGAAGGAAGUGAGUCAAAGCAACUACACGAAGGUGAUUCAGGAGUUGAUAAUCUGGAAAAGCAUCCACUGGUAGGAAAUCUGGGUGAUGAGAGUUCUCUCUUAAGCAAGGACAAACAAUCAGCUGGAAACUCUGAUUUGAUCUCAAAUGCAGGAUUUGGUUUCACAGCUAGAAAUGCUGACUUAGCUGCUUCACCGAAAACUGAAUCAUCCUUAAAAUUGAGUAAAGAGCAAAUGGCAGGUGCCAGUAUUUCUUGUAGCACAGAAUUGGAUUGUUCUUUAGAUGAGAAAAUGUGUACACAUGUUCAGAUCAUAGAUCAAGGAAGUGUCCGCCUGGCCAGUGGAUCAAGCAGUUCCUUGUCAGAGGAAUCUCAAUCUACAUUUUCUGAAGACAGGAAAAUUCAAGAUUGCCAAGCACAGUCUGAAGCGAAGAAACUGAUGGACUCAAUGGAAGACAAAGAGUUGAUGCCAAAGUAUGUAUUUAAUGUCUGUAAGCAAGCUGUUUUUUUCUGAAUAUUCUAUAAAUCAAUACAUGAUGCAUUAGUAAUAUGCUUAAUUCUCUCCUAUUGCAGCAAGAGUAAACUAAUGGACAGACUAAAGCUGGAUUUUGUUCCACCUAGACAUCAGUUACAUGCUGUACCAUUCUCAGAUGAAUGGCUAGCUGCUCUUGAGGCUUUUGGGGAGGUUAGUUUAUUGUUCAAAAGGUUCUUUGAGUAACUUGUAGUUUCUUGUCAUUUCACCACAAUCGUGUCACAGUAAUGUACGCCAUGUUAAUAGUAGCGUACACCCACCAAAGUUGAUAAGUUUACCAGCAAGAAAAUUGUUCUGUUGGUUUAUACGUCAGCAAAAUGAUUAGUGCUUUCGCUUUGCUUUUAACCUGAUAUUGUUUUAUAUGACCGUUCUUUGGCAUUCAUUUCUUAGAUUUCCUGACAUCAUUAUAUAAAUAAGAUUCAAGGUUAGUUUUUGAUUUAAUUUGUUUACUUCCCCAUUUGUUUGGGACUGAAAAUUAGGAAAAUAUUCAGAAAAUCUUAGGUACAAACUCAUCAAAUGUCAGGAUGUUGAAUCUUGGUUAGGAAAUCCUUUUGAUUAGUUAGUAGUCUGGUUGAUCUGGAUCCUAUUCAGUAGAAAUAUGUCAAAGAAGUCAUAUUUUCAGUAAUAGAUUGUAUUGGUAGGAUUUCUGGUUUUAAAAGGACUAUCUUUUCUUCCUUCAUGUUAUUUAGGGGUCUUUUGAAGUUUUUGCAUUAGGCUAGGGGAGAUUUAAAAAAUUACAACAUGAUUUUGAUUUAAAAAUUCUGUGAAAAAACCAUGUGGUGUAUUCUGCAUGCAUAUCAUCAUUCUGCAUUUCUUCUUUUUCCUUUUCUUCUCUUUGUUAUUUUCUUUCAUCUUUUUUGCUUUUCUUCUCCUUCCUAUGUUUUUUCUCCUCAAACUAAAAUCCUUACCCUGUCUCUGGGGCUAAAUCAUGUUCUUGUUCUGUUUACCAUGUGCUAGUUUGGCUCUAAAUUUCUAAUCAUGUUUUCAUUUUUCCUAAUUAUGUGCACUGCUCAAAACCUUAGUAUAUGUACUUGAUUAUAUACUUGUAUUCAGGGAAGUUUUGUAAUUUUCCCCAAAUCUGAAUUAAUCCAUGUAGUUUUUCUUCAUUUUUUUUUCAACAAAAAUGUGGGCAAGUGCCUAGAUUUCUAAAGUUCUGUAUCAUGUCAUUGUACAUGAAUUCUACUUACAUUUUAGAAAUUAGGCAAUUGCUGUGCUGAAGUCUGUAUGUUAAUUGCUCUUUGCCUGUUUUUACAUGUAAUGCAGGAUAAUGGUUAUAUACAUGAUUGGCAUUUCUUUUUCUUUUUCUUAUGUAUGUUCAAUUACAUGUCUUGACACAUUGUUGAUCUAACAGGAGAUUCUGGAACUGAAAACGGGUCCUGUGCAAAAUUCUCCACCUGACAGAGCUCUUCCAGAACCUGGUCCAUGGUCACCGGUAUGGUCCUCCUUUCAUUUGUCAUAUCAAUAUGCAUUUUGUAAGUCUAGUGACAAAAAUAUGCCACAUACAGAGUAUUCAAUUUACUUUAUGUUAUCUCAGACUUUAUGUCAACAAUCAUCUGUACAUGGUAUUUCUAAGUGUAGCUUUAAUUUUCAUACAAUUGGCAGUAGACAACAAUCAUGCCAAAACUCAUUCUUUUAACAUGGAAUGCAGUUGGAGAAUUUGGUGCACAUGACAAAUGUAAAAUUUGACACAAUGAUUGUCAGGUAAUAUCCUAGUGCUGCUGCAAGAAUGAGAAUUUUUUACAAGAGCUUUUUGGGACUAAGUAGAAUCAUUUUGAAGGAGGGGAUAGAGGUGUUACAGUUGGAAAGUGGAGCUCUCAAAAAAUCAGGAUGAAAAGAGCAAUUAUGGUGCACUAUUAAUAAUGAGAGUAAAUUAUAAAAAUCCUCUGAGGUUUAUGUUUAUUACAUUUACAUCCAAUAGUUUGAAAAACCUACAUUUACCCCCAACUAAACUAACAGCAUUAGUAAAACCAUUUGCUUUAUGUAAAACAUCAAAAUUGCCUCUAGUACGCUUAUAAACCAUUUUUCCUAUGUCUUCCUACACUGCACCUGCGGUAUGCCUAUAAAGCCCGACCACCCCCAUGUGAACCGCUCUAACACCCUCUACCUGUGCUCCUGGCGCUUUCCCAAAUCCAACCUCAUCCACUCCCUCUCCC